GUGGCCGGAGAGGUUGUGGUGGAGGCGUUGCCUUAUUUUGAUCAAGGUUAUGAAGCCCCUGGUGUGUGGAAAGCUGCUGAGGUGCUGGUGGAAGAGCAAACUCACCUACUAAGAGCUACCUGAGCUGCCUAACAGCCCCGAAUUAUUCUGCAUUUGACUGACAUAAUGAGAAAUGAAUUUGCAAGACUGGCUGCUCGACAACCAAUUGAAUUGCUCAGUACGAAAUGAUAUGAGCUUCCAGCCCCUUUCUCCCAUCAAAAAAAUGACACUGCUGCAUGGUAAGAAUGUGUAAACAAUUUUAUUGCCCAGUUAAAGCAGCAAGCAGUUAGAACUGAGACUCUGGAACUAAUGUCACAGCAUGGAUAUAAUGCCUAGAAAGUUUACAAUGAAAAUCUAGUUCGUAUGAUUGAACACUCACAGAAAGAACUUCAGAAGGUAAGAAAACAUAUUCGAGUUUAACGGGCAGAGAAAGAACAUGCAACUCGCUGGAUCUAAAUUGAGAGAAAUGGAGUCAAAUUGGGUAUCCCUGGUCAGUAAGAAUUAUGAGAUUGAACAGACUAUUGUUCAACGAAAAUGAAAUCUAUCACAUUAAGGAUCAAUAUGGAGAAGCAAACAAAACAUCCCAUGAGACU
rnacentral:lncRNA from 10 species